AUAGCACUAGCUGGUUUGAGGCUUUUGCUCUUCGCUAGGGGUCGAGUUAUAGCUUCCACUCAAACUCAUGAUGCCAAGAGAAUUCUCGUAAUGAGCACCCAGAUCCUCCUUCCCUCCGCAGUCUCUUCGGUCAAGUUCAGAGGCCACGAUGCUAGAAGAAUUCUCGUAAGGAGAGAGCACCGUGCGUCCCGAUAUUUAUCCAGGUCACUGCUGAGGAAGGACUGAAGUACAACUUCCUUGAGCGCAACUUUCUUGCGUGCGCUCUUUUUUUCUUCUCUCUCCUUGACGCUUCUUGCUCUAAGGUAUAGAGUAGUCUUGGGGCUAUUCAUACACACUUUGCGUGAUAGUGUAAAAGCCUAGGACUUCUGAUGUAACUGCUUGUAGUCGUUCUUAAGCAUACUAUUGUAUUUGUUGCCCCGACUUCUUUAAGC
rnacentral:lncRNA from 1 species